AUUGGACGCUGGCGGCAUGCCUUACACAUGCAAGUCGAACGGUAACGGGCCUUCGGGUGCCGACGAGUGGCGAACGGGUGAGUAAUGCAUCGGAACGUACCUUUCAGUGGGGGAUAACGUAGCGAAAGUUACGCUAAUACCGCAUAUUCUGUGAGCAGGAAAGCAGGGGAUCGCAAGACCUUGCGCUGAUUGAGCGGCCGAUGUCAGAUUAGCUAGUUGGUGAGGUAAAGGCUCACCAAGGCGACGAUCUGUAGCGGGUCUGAGAGGACGAUCAGCCACACUGGAACUGAGACACGGUCCAGACUCCUACGGGAGGCAGCAGUGGGGAAUAUUGGACAAUGGGGGAAACCCUGAUCCAGCGACGCCGCGUGGGUGAAGAAGGCCUGCGGGUUGUAAAGCCCUUUCGGUAGGGACGAAAGCUCUCGACCUAACACGUCGGGAGGUUGACUUAACCUACAGAAGAAGCACCGGCUAACUCUGUGCCAGCCGCCGCCGUAAAAC
rnacentral:rRNA from 1 species